GACGAACGCUGGCGGCGUGCUUAACACAUGCAAGUCGAACGAAGAGCGAUGGAAGCUUGCUUCUAUCAAUCUUAGUGGCGAACGGGUGAGUAACGCGUAAUCAACCUGCCCUUCAGAGGGGGACAACAGUUGGAAACGACUGCUAAUACCGCAUACGAUCUAAUCUCGGCAUCGAGGAAAGAUGAAAGGUGGCCUCUAUUUAUAAGCUAUCACUGAAGGAGGGGAUUGCGUCUGAUUAGCUAGUUGGGGGGGUAACGGCCAACCAAGGCGAUGAUCAGUAGCCGGUCUGGGAGGAUGAACGGCCACAUUGGGACUGGGACACGGCCCAGACUCCUACGGGAGGCAGCAGUGGGGAAUCUUCCGCAAUGGACGAAAGUCUGACGGAGCAACGCCGCGUGAGUGAUGACGGCCUUCGGGUUGUAAAGCUCUGUUAAUCGGGACGAAAGGCCUUCUUGCGAACAGUUAGAAGGAUUGACGGUACCGGAAUAGAAAGCCACGGCUAACUACGUG
rnacentral:rRNA from 1 species